UACGUAGGGUGCAAGCGUUAACCGGAAUUACUGGGCGUAAAGCGUGCGUAGGCGGCUAUCUAAGUCGGGUGUGAAAGCCCCGGGCUCAACCUGGGAAUUGCAUUCGAGACUGAAUAGCUAGGGUACGGUAGAGGGAAGCGGAAUUUCCGGUGUAGCGGUGAAAUGCGUAGAUAUCGGGAGGAACACCAGUGGCGAAGGCGGCUUCCUGGCCUGUUCUUGACGCUGAGGCGCGAAAGCUAGGGGAGCAAACGGG
rnacentral:rRNA from 1 species